UACGGGGGGGCAAGCGUUGUUCGGAAUUACUGGGCGUAAAGGGCUCGUAGGCGGCCAACUAAGUCGGAUGUGAAAUCCCCAGGCUCAACCUGGGAACUGCAUCCGAUACUGGAUGGCUUGAAUUCGGGAGAGGGAUGCAGAAUUCCAGGUGUAGCGGUGAAAUGCGUAGAUAUCUGGAGGAAUACCGGUGGCGAAGGCGGCAUCCUGGACCGACAUUGACGCUGAGGAGCGAAAGCCAGGGGAGCAAACAGG
rnacentral:rRNA from 1 species